GCCGCAAUGGUGGAAUUGGUAGACACGCUAGACUUAGGAUCUAGUGCCUUGUGCGUGGGGGUUCAAGUCCCUCUUGCGGCACCA
rnacentral:tRNA from 1 species